GACGAACGCUGGCGGCGUGCCUAAUACAUGCAAGUAGAACGCACAGUUUAUACCGUAGCUUGCUACACCAUAAACUGUGAGUUGCGAACGGGUGAGUAACGCGUAGGUAACCUGCCUGGUAGCGGGGGAUAACUAUUGGAAACGAUAGCUAAUACCGCAUAAUAUUGAUUAUUGCAUGAUAAUUGAUUGAAAGAUGCUAUUGCAUCACUACCAGAUGGACCUGCGUUGUAUUAGCUAGUAGGUGAGGUAACGGCUCACCUAGGCGACGAUACAUAGCCGACCUGAGAGGGUGAUCGGCCACACUGGGACUGAGACACGGCCCAGACUCCUACGGGAGGCAGCAGUAGGGAAUCUUCGGCAAGGGACGAAAGUCUGACCGAGCAACGCCGCGUGAGUGAAGAAGGUUUUCGGAUCGUAAAGCUCUGUUGUAAGAGAAGAACGGGUGUGAGAGUGGAAAGUUCACACUGUGACGGUAGCUUACCAGAAAGGGACGGCUAACUACGUG
rnacentral:rRNA from 1 species